UUCACCUGGGAAUCUUGUUAAAAUGCAGAUUCUGAGUAAGUCUGAGGUAGGGCCUGAGAUUCUGCAUUUCUAACACACUCCUAAGUGAUACAGA
rnacentral:pre_miRNA from 1 species